rnacentral:rRNA from 1 species
AACCUUGCAUUGCUUGCGCGACAAGCCUGGCGGCUACUCCAGGAACCAAAUUCCCUGAGUGCGCGAAUCCUCAAAGCUGUUUACUACCCUUCGGUUUCAAUUCUUGAAGCUGAGCUGGGAAAGAACCCGUCACAGGGGCUGGUUAAACGGAUUGGCUCUGGUGAGGACACCAAUAUUUGGGUGGAUAACUGGAUACCACGAGAUUUCAAACUGCGACCGGUGUGCCCAAAAACAUUGAAUCCCCCGCAGCUUGUCUCGGAACUCAUCAAUCUCGUCACCUUCGCGUGGGAUAUGGCUGCGCUAGAUGAGCACUUUUACUCGAUGGAUAAGGAAGCGAUCCUCAAUAUCCCGCUCAGUUCUCGAGUACGCCAAGAUUUCUGGUCUUGGCAUUAUGAACGAAAGGGUGUCUUUACAGUGCGGUCAGCAUACAAGCUUCUGUCCUCUACUAGGCAGCAGCGCACUGACUGGCUAGAACACAAUGAGGGGCACUCACGUGUUGAAGCAGACCGCGGAUCUUGGACUAAGCUAUGGGGAGCAGCGGUCCCUUCAAAAGUCCGCGUUUUUGCUUGGAGACUGGCCAAAUGCUCUAUCCCCACAGGAGAAGUCCGAAAGCAUAGAAGUAUGGCCGAUUCGACGGAGUGUUCAAUUUGUCACGUGGCAGUGGAUACUUGGCGCCACUCCCUUUUUGACUGCCACAUGGCACGAUGUGUUUGGGCCCUCGCCGAUGAG